UGGGGUGUAGCCAAGUGGAAAGGCAGUCGCUUUUGAUGCGACCAUUCGGAGGUUCGAACCCUUCCACCCCAG
rfam:Ostreococcus tauri mitochondrion, complete genome.